rnacentral:rRNA from 1 species
GACGAACGCUGGCGGCGUGCUUAACACAUGCAAGUCGAACGGAAAGGCCCUGCUUUUGUGGGGUGCUCGAGUGGCGAACGGGUGAGUAACACGUGAGUAACCUGCCCUUGACUUUGGGAUAACUUCAGGAAACUGGGGCUAAUACCGGAUAGGAGCUCCUGCUGCAUGGUGGGGGUUGGAAAGUUUCGGCGGUUGGGGAUGGACUCGCGGCUUAUCAGCUUGUUGGUUGGGUAGUGGCUUACCAAGGCUUUGACGGGUAGCCGGCCUGAGAGGGUGACCGGCCACAUUGGGCCUGAGAUACGGCCCAGACUCCUACGGGAGGCAGCAGUGGGGAAUAUUGCACAAUGGGCGGAAGCCUGAUGCAGAAACGCCGCGUGCGGGAUGACGGCCUUCGGGUUGUAACCCGCUUUCGCCUGUGACGAAGCGUGAGUGACGGUAAUGGGUAAAGAAGCACCGGCUAACUACGUG